AAUACAUCAAAGAAAACACAGGAACGUAGUAGACCACUUGAAAUAUUUCAGUUUGCCUAUUAAGCCCUGAUAAUAAAAAAUUCACAUUCAGAACUCCUCCGUUCGAUUAAACUGAAAACAUCGAAAACAAGUAAUCAAGUGAAAACUCAAAGAUACAUUAUGGCGGAUACAGCUCAAUAUCUCAACGAACGUUACCAACGUUUUAUGAACGGACUCGGCGAGCGCUAUGAGCCGUACAUACGUGAGCAUCUGUCGAAGGUAUACAUGGUGCUGGCGAGCACCGCUGCUGCCACAGCAGUGGGGGCUCUGUUGCAGAUGCGUGACUUUGUAGACCUGGGUAUGCUGGCUGCCAUUGCAUCAUUGGUGUUGGUGCUCUGCCUGCAUUUCUAUAAGGACGAUGGCAAAAACUACUACACACGUCUCGGCAUGCUCUAUGCCUUCGGCUUCUGUUCUGGUCAAACCUUGGGUCCAUUGCUAGGCUAUAUAACCAGCAUUAAUCCGGCUAUUAUAUUAACCGCACUGACCGGUACCUUUGUGACCUUCUUAUCACUAUCGCUGGCCGCUUUGCUUGCCGAACAGGGCAAAUAUCUUUACCUGGGCGGCAUGCUUGUGAGCGUUAUCAACUGCAUGGCGCUUUUGAGUCUCUUCAACAUGAUCUUCAAAUCGUAUUUUGUGCAGAUAACUCAAUUGUAUGUUGGCGUCUUUGUCAUGGCUGCUUUUAUCGUCUACGAUACUCAGAACAUCGUGGAGAAGUGCCGCAUGGGCAAUCGGGAUGUAGUACAGCAUGCCUUGGAUCUAUUCUUUGACGUGCUGAGCAUGUUCCGUCGUUUGUUGAUUAUCCUAACUCAAAAGCUCAAGAGCUUUAUGGCUUAAGAGAAUAGCAACCUGAGUCAGUCAACCUGAUUGUAAACAAGCAAAAACCAAAUUCUUUAAGAAAACAUAUAGAACACAAUUUCUUUUUAAAAAGUUAUUGCAUUAAAUCGACGGAGGAGCAAAAGCAGGCUGAUCGUCGCAAGAGGAAGUAAUCUUGCGUUGCAUUUUUUACGCAGACGUUUGUUAAAAAUUUCAAAAAAGCGCAACGGCGUGCAUACCUUUUGGCUAUAAAAUUCUACACAUCCACUUUAAACAAAUAUAUGAGCAUACGAUAAUGUACAGCUAAGCAAGGACAAUUCGGAUUACAUGAAAAUAUAAUACAAAACAUUAAAAACGUAAUAAAAAUGUUAGACAACCAAGUCAACUGCAAUUUGCAAUAUGGUCUAUAGUAUGCUCUACUUUGUAAUAUUAGUAUUUAUGUGUUAUGCCUAUUUUUUGGUUCGAGUUGUAUUAUUUAUUAAGAGUUUGAAUAGCAUUGAUGUUUAUUUCAAUAAAGUAAAACCUCUCAUCAUAA